UAAAAGUUAAUUAAAAUAUAAUAUGAGCUUGUCGUGCUUAAUUUAUCUAAUCUAGAUACUUUUAA
rnacentral:tRNA from 1 species